GACAAACACAGCAUAUCCUAAAAUUCUUCUGUCUACAGCUCCCACAACUAUACCCUAUAAUUUCAUGAGGUUGAUAUUCAACGUCUUCCUGUCCUGGAUAUCAAACAAAGGAUCCUUCCUUUGUCAUCAAAGGAGUCACAACCAUGGCUGUGCAUGCUGAAACCAGGAUGUCUCAAGAGGGGCCAAGCCUGGAGCCCACUGCCCGGAGUCGGGGGCAAAGAUCCAAGGUUGCAUGAGUAUCACUUUUCAAGGGUCCUGUCAGGGAAGCCGGCUUGUAGACAGGAGGUCACAGCUCCAGAGGUGAAGAUGGCUCAGUUGUAGAGAAUGGCACAUAAUGAAAGCACUGCUGUUAACUUUCAUAAACUUAUGAAGAAUUCCAAGGGCAGCAAUCAAGUAAAUGAAGACCAGAUCACUGAUUAUCUGUCUCCAGUUCACUCUGUUUGUGAAUAAACAUGAACCCGCAAAUUUAAUUUCA